GUAGGUGGCAAGCGUUGUCCGGAUUUAUUGGGUUUAAAGGGUGCGUAGGCGGUCCAUUAAGUCAGUUGUGAAAUACGGCAGCUUAACUGUCGAGGUGCAAUUGAUACUGGUGGACUUGAGUACUGAUGAGGUAGGCGGAAUGGACGGUGUAGCGGUGAAAUGCUUAGAGAUCGUCCAGAACACCGAUAGCGAAGGCAGCUUACUAAAGAGUAACUGACGCUGAGGCACGAAAGUGUGGGGAUCAAACAGGAUUAGAUACCCUGGUAGUCCACACUGUAAACGAUGAUUACUCGAUGUGUGCGAUACACAGCACGCGUCUUAGCAAAAGCGAUAAGUAAUCCACCUGGGGAGUACGCCGGCAACGGUG
rnacentral:rRNA from 1 species